CCUACGGGUGGCAGCAGUGGGGAAUAUUGCACAAUGGGGGAAACCCUGAUGCAGCAACGCCGCGUGAGUGAUGACGGCCUUCGGGUUGUAAAGCUCUGUCUUCAGGGACGAUAAUGACGGUACCUGAGGAGGAAGCCACGGCUAACUACGUGCCAGCAGCCGCGGUAAUACGUAGGUGGCGAGCGUUGUCCGGAUUUACUGGGCGUAAAGGGAGCGUAGGCGGACUUUUAAGUGAGAUGUGAAAUACUCGGGCUCAACUUGAGUGCUGCAUUUCAAACUGGAAGUCUAGAGUGCAGGAGAGGAGAAUGGAAUUCCUGGUGUAGCGGUGAAAUGCGUAGAUAUCAGGAGGAACACCGGUGGCGAAGGCGGCCUGCUGGACUGCAACUGACGUUGAGGCCCGAAAGCGUGGGGAGCAAACAGGAUUAGAUACCCUGGUAGUC
rnacentral:rRNA from 1 species